rnacentral:rRNA from 1 species
GCUCAGAUUGAACGCUGGCGGCAGGCCUAACACAUGCAAGUCGAACGGUAACAGAAAGAAGCUUGCUUCUUUGCUGACGAGUGGCGGACGGGUGAGUAAUGUCUGGGAAACUGCCUGAUGGAGGGGGAUAACUACUGGAAACGGUAGCUAAUACCGCAUAACGUCGCAAGACCAAAGAGGGGGACCUUCGGGCCUCUUGCCAUCGGAUGUGCCCAGAUGGGAUUAGCUUGUUGGUGGGGUAACGGCUCACCAAGGCGACGAUCCCUAGCUGGUCUGAGAGGAUGACCAGCCACACUGGAACUGAGACACGGUCCAGACUCCUACGGGAGGCAGCAGUA